rnacentral:rRNA from 1 species
GGCAGCAGGCGCGCAAAUUACCCACUCCCGGCACGGGGAGGUAGUGACGAAAAAUAACGAUACGGGACUCAUCCGAGGCCCCGUAAUCGGAAUGAGUACACUCUAAACACGUUCCCGAAAAUCAAUUGGAGGGUAAGUCUGGUGCCAGCAGCCGCGGUAAUUCCAGCUCCAAUAGCGUAUAUUAAAGUUGUUGCGGUUAAAAAGCUCGUAGUCGAAUCUGUGUCUCGCGCCGCUGGUUCAUCGCUCGCGGUGUUCAACUGGCGUGUCUCGCGGGACGUCCUGCCGGUGGGAUUACGUAUCGUUUCGGCGGUGCGUGUCCCAACUCGUCUCCGUCUUGCGCGGUUGCGAAUCCCAUCGCGGUGCUCUUUAUUGAGUGUCGAGGUGGGCCGGCACGUUUACUUUGAACAAAUUAGAGUGCUUAAAGCAGGCCAGUUUUGCCUGAAUAUUCUGUGCAUGGAAUAAUGGAAUAGGACCUCGGUUCUAUUUUGUUGGUUUUCGGAACCCCGAGGUAAUGAUUAAUAGGAACGGAUGGGGGCAUUCGUAUUGCGACGUUAGAGGUGAAAUUCUUGGAUCGUCGCAAGACGGACAGAAGCGAAAGCAUUUGCCAAAAACGCUUUCAUUGAUCAAGAACGAAAGUUAGAGGUUCGAAGGCGAUCAGAUACCGCCCUAGUUCUAACCAUAAACGAUGCCAGCUAGCGAUCCGCCGACGUUCCUCCGAUGACUCGGCGGGCAGCUUCCGGGAAACCAAAGCUUUUGGGUUCCGGGGGAAGUAUGGUUGCAAAGCUGAAACUUAAAGGAAUUGACGGAAGGGCACCACCAGGAGUGGAGCCUGCGGCUUAAUUUGACUCAACACGGGAAACCUCACCAGGCCCGGACACCGGAAGGAUUGACAGAUUGAGAGCUCUUUCUUGAUUCGGUGGGUGGUGGUGCAUGGCCGUUCUUAGUUGG